GAAAUGCGAUAAGUAAUGUGAAUUGCAGAAUUCAGUGAAUCAUCGAAUCUUUGAAGGCACAUUGCGCCCCCUGGUAUUCCGGGGGGCAUGCCUGUUCGAGCGUCAUUUCACCACUCAAGCCUCGCUUGGUAUUGGGCGACGCGGUCCGCCGCGCGCCUCAAAUCGACCGGCUGGGUCUUUCGUCCCCUCAGCGUUGUGGAAACUAUUCGCUAAAGGGUGCCGCGGGAGGCCACGCCGUAAAACAACCCCAUUUCUAAGGUUGACCUCGGAUCAGGUAGGGAUACCCGCUGAACUUAAGC
rnacentral:misc_RNA from 1 species